CUGAGUAAUAUCGCUUCUAUGAGAAGAGCAAAUGAUUUUGUAAUGGCAUGUAUCUGGAUGGAGGCUCUAGUUAUGUAGUGAGCUGCAUGGAAACCUGAUGCUGACUUUUCCUGGGGAAGUGCCCACUAGCAUUUUUUGCUUUGCCAAGCUGGUAUUUCCUUGUAUUUCCUUCUUCAGUUUCACGUUCCCCAUUGCAUUGGUUUGGUCCACGUAUGCAUUCUCCAACGAUCUUUUUCUUCACGCCUGGCAAUUUGUCAGGAGUAAAUAUGGAAUCUUCAAAGAAGAAAGCUACAAAACUGUAAUAUCCAGCCAUUUAUAUCAGUGAGCAUUUUCUGAUUUUUCUGGGGCUCGUAGUUUGGCCAGCUGUGGAUGCUUUUCUGUGGGCCCUCAUCAAGGGUACUGCUAGCUCUCAAGUUCUUAUUUCAAGAGACACAGGUAACUGACAUUUUAUUUAAGUGAAGCAACUGAGAGUCCAUACAAAGUAAGUAGCUGUUACCUCACUGGGUCAUUCUUGAAAAUCACAAACACAUUUUGUCUGAAAACCAAACUCUCAUAUUUUUUUCUUUGAAAUAAACCUCAAAAUGACAUAAAUCCCAGAAAAGGUCAACCUACUGUGUUGGCAAUGAGAUUGAAAAUGUCUUUAUAAUGGGAAAAGUUAGGCAGUCUUAACAUCAGGUAUCAGUGUAAACUCCAGCUGUGUAAUAAAGGGUGAAAAUAAUCUGAUUAACAA